CCUGGCGGCACUAGCGCGGCGGUCCCACCUGACCCCAUGCCGAACUCAGAAGUGAAACGCCGUAGCGCCGAUGGUAGUGUGGG
rnacentral:rRNA from 1 species